CACAGACUCCUCAUGUGACCUUGGCAGGGCGGCUGUGAGAGAGGAAACAAGCCAACGCGGAGUCUCUCCAGCCGUGGCCUCCCCUCUAUUUGCCCAUGGAACUGUCAAGGGGCUGGGCAGGGAAUUCACUGGAUCUGCUGCAACUUGCCAGAGGUGCCUUUGUGAGCAGAAGGUCCCUGUGACUCAUUCACUUUCUAUUUCCUCUGGAUGGGCGCAGGAAACCAGCCCUGCCAGAAAAGUGCUAAUAUUAGCCCCAUCGUGCUCACAUCUUCACUGAGGGAGUGUUAUUUCUACGCUGUGGAGAUGCUAGUGUCUGGCUUAUCAGAAGCACCCUACCUCCAUCCUCUCCACAUGUCCCCUGGACCUCUGGGGUACCCUCUCGCUGCAUGUCCGACCCAACGACUCGGGGGCAGCAGGACAGUCGCUAGAGAGGUAGAGUUGUUUAGUGGUUAGAACAACACGCUGGGAAUCAGGCGCCUUCGGUUCUAUUCCCAGCUCUGCCAAGUCACUUCCCUUCUGCGUACCUCAGUUUCCCCUCCCAUUCUUUGUCUAUUUAGAUUGCAAGCCUUUCAAAGCAGGAAUUGUCCUGGCACAACAGGGCCCCAAUCUCUGUUUGUGUUACCGUUAAUGCAAAUAGGCAUCAACAAACCAGAACACCUGACCCAUUUCAUCUGGGACAACUCUCUCACAGAAGGGACGAUGCUGGGAAAACCUGGACAGAUGCCAGCCCUAAAUACAAAUUCUCCUCACUGAGAACGAGGUCGACUACAGCAAACACAUUCAAGAAAGGGUACUGCUAAUGCAUCAGCUUAAGGAGGGAUCCCCCCCCCAAACAGCGGUCACAUUUGGGUGCCUGCCGUCACAUCUGAUUGCAGCAAACCUCAAGCUGAGCUGGGUGACAUGGGCAUUCACGCUGCAUGGCCUGGUCUGUGCUGAGCCUGCCAGUUGGUAGAGGCUAGUCUUUGGACCAAGCCUGGUCAAACCACUGCCCAUCAGCUAUCAGGUGAGAACAGGAGACACUCGCCCCACACCUGGGCUGGAUUCAUACCUGUGGCUCUCAGGUUCCACCAGCACCGUUCACGUCUCCAUCUGGCUCUGGCUCAACCAGCAGGUUCCCAUUAGACCAAAGCAUCAAAUUGUGCUGGGCUUGUUUUCCCAUCAGUAACGGGACCCUUCCUUCCCUCCGUAACACGCCGCGGGACCCAGGAAGGGAAAAGAGUUGGCUAGUGUGAUUACCCAAAGCCAACUUGACUUUCAGAUGCUGAGCACUCUCUCCAGUCUGAGGAGAGGGCUGCUUGGGGGUGUCUGGGUCCAUCCUGACCUGUGGAGGGGGACAAAGCAGGGAUCCAUAAAUCAGGGAUGAAAUAUUCACUCUCUUCUUCCUCCCUACUGGCCAUGAUCCAGUCCCAAAUCCACAGAGGACCAGGCAACACCUGGAAUCCCAUUUAGCGCCCUUCUACAGUGCUCUAGCAAAGCAGAUGGCAACAGCGGGAUGGGGUGUUAAGAACGAAGCUGGACCGGCUGCCGUGACAUCUGUGCAAUGGGCCAGCUGGGGGGAUGGGCUCGGACAGUACUCAGAACGGGAAAGCAUAUGAGACUGCUUAAUGACAGAGAGGACAUGCUAAGAGCGGCCCAGGGUAGACGGGUGGCAGACCCUGCUUUGUGUCCAAAUCCUUUGUGUUCCUUAAAAGAACUCUGUGAAACUGGGGAAUCCCGGUGGGAACAGCCCUCCCCCAGGACCUCUGGCCCAGGGCCCCAGGACUUGGGAUGGAGGGAGGCCUCUCUGCCCCCUGAGGAUUGAGCCCCAGGCAGGGGCAGGGCAAGCUGUCCUCCCAGGGCACCACAAUAUGCCACCAGCAUAAUAUGCUUAAACACCAGGGUCUGUUGCACCGCAUGAUCAUGACCCCACUGCACGGCUUUAUUCCAGGCAUCUGAAAGCACCACAGGGGUUAUUGCUAAUCUGCUGCAGUCCAGUUAAUCUCAGCCGACCGUGGGACCGCCGCCAGUCCAUGACCAGGCAGCAUCCCCUCCUGACCGCAAGUCCUGCUUGACGGGUGGGCUCUUUGCGGCCGAGGUGGGCAACGUGACCCAAAAGAUCCGGCCAACAGCAGCCAGUGAUGAGUUCCAUCCUCUCGAGGUCAGUUCUCAAUGGUACGUCCCUAUUCCUGACAACGUCUCGUACUCAGUGUCACCUCUGGCAGUGCAUAUGAAAUGCCCCCAGCCUCCCGAUGUCUUGCUGAAGCAGGGUCCAGGUUGCAGACCCAUGGAAGCAGCUCUGAAACACGCAGGCUUGACAAAGUCCUACGUAUGUAUCUAGCAGCAAGUUCUUUUGGCUCUAGACCCUAGGCAGGUGCUCCGUGGCUGAGGCUGCUAAACAAACUCCCUUUAGGAUGUCUGGCAGACAGCCCCGUUGGAGGACAGUUUCCUGCCUGGAUAGAUGAGGACAUCUCCUGCUGCCAUGGUGUGGCCGGAAGCAUGGAUGUCUGCCUCAUGCUUUUUGCACCGAUGUGCUGGGGUUUUUUUGGUUUCAUCCAGAAACCUUUAGCCCCAAGGCAGCUGUCUUGUGCUGGAAGCUGUCUGCUGCAUCUUUGAGAUCACCUGCGUCCUGAGCAAAGAGGACACCACCGUCUGCAUAAUCCAGGCUGGUAAAAGAGGUCGAACCAGCAGUUAUCUCAGUAUUUGCAGGGAGACGUCCAAGGAGCCAAUCCAUUGCACAACAGAACCGGGCUGCAGCCAGGACACAUCCCUGCGUCACCCCAGAUCAAGCAUGAAACCUAUCGGUUCCCCAACAGACCCGUGCCUCUGAGACAUUAGCUAAAGCUUGAAUCAGUCCCAGCCAGCUCUCUCGACCAAAUCGAAGGCUGCCCUUAGGUCUAUGUAUGCAGCUGUCAAAAGCCACUUAAAUCCACGAUGGAGUACAUCGUACAGAGGAGAAUUCACCUUGGCUUUCCUGCCGGGACCAUCCCAAAGGCGGUGGCAGCACUGGUGAUGCAAGCCCCUGUGCACAGAGCACCAACCACGUCAUGCCAGACGGUCCCCACAGUCUGAGCCCAGACAGAUGCAAACUACUGACGAACACCAGACACUGGCCCAACCCCUGAGCCACAAGGCAAAGGCUCCACAAGCUCUUCUUCCUGGAGUCUCUGGGUCCCUGGCCUAGGGGCACCUCUCCCAGCCCUGAGUCCCCCCCACCCCACUGGCCUGUAUUCCACCUUUUAGCCCUUGGCCGUACCCUAGUGGGUGGAGGGCUCAUGCCCGAGGCUCUGCUCUGAGCAGGUGAAGCAACUACCUGCAGCCCACCGCCGUAGCAGCCCCGGGGUCAGGGGCAACCCCAGACUGCAGGCCCGGAGCCAAGAACCAGGGGGAGAGGAGGCAGCACAGACGGAAGGGGAGUGAACCUUCGGAGACCCUGACUGCCUGCGGGCAGGGAGGGGGCUGGGAGCAGCCUGAGCCAGCUUUUUCAAAUGCUUUUAAUUGCUCAGUUCUAGUUUUUGGCAAGGGAAUUUGCUGGAUGACUUGUGGCUUUGACUUGACUUGCAAUGAUCUGGGGCUAGGGGACCCCUGGUGUGAGAGACUCCCCAUCCCUCAGCCAGGGCUGCCUCUGGGAGGGGAGAUCAGAGGGGCCCCCCCACACCUCACCCGUCUACUCUCCUCUCUAAACCAGUGCUUGGGAGAGGAGUCUCAUGCAUAGUGCAGGCACAAGAGCUUUAUUCUCCACCCACUUCCUGGGAGUAAAAAACCACUCGGUUAUAGGGAGAAAUGGGGAGAAAUUAGGAGGCCCUGCCAGGGGGAGAGGGUUACAGCCGGGGUUCGGAAAGAGAUGCAGAGAGGCCGGAGCUGGCGAAAGACACAGACUGGCAGCAGCUGUUGCAGAGGAGAAGGCUCUUGUGCCAGCAGCAGUGGGGGAUGCAGAAGAAAGUGGCACUAGGUCCUGUGAGAAGAAGAGAGAGAGAGAGAGAGAGAGAGAGAGAGACAAAGGGCCUGGUUUCCCAGUGCCCUGCACCUCGUGCGGUUAUUUACAUUGCCGGCCCGAUGGUUGCAGUGCCUUGGAAGAGGGUGGUAUCCCUUUAAAUAGCUUGUGAACCCCUUGACAGCACUCACCACAUUUUAUGUCUCCAAAGGUACCAGACACCAGGCAAAGCAGCAGUGUGUGUGCGGUGCUAGGCUCAGCACACUGCGUGUAGUCAGCAAACAGGGCCCUUGUCUUGCCAUGGGGUUCCUUCACAUUAUCCUCCUCAUUGAGUACAAGAGCAAAAAGACACAACUGUGUUGUAGGGACCCCAUUCUCCACCGCCCUGCGAAGAGACGGUCAUUGACAGCAGUGUCAAGCGGGGGGACACCCUGCCUGUGAAUGCACUCUCGUGGCACUGGUGCACUGUUGCCAGCCCUGAGCUUUCGAAAAUCAAGAGUCAAAAAUCAUGAGACUGACUUAAAAUCAUGGGAUUAAAAAAAAACAAAACGUGUUUUAGGCUCUCUUAUUUCCUUUCUGGGUUUAGGGUUCACAUUUUUAAGCUUUUUUUCCAGAA